UUACACCCUUAUUGAAGCUGCAAUUGCUUCCACAUAGCUCCUGUGUUCAAAAAAGAGCCCAGAGUGAGUUUGUCUUUGACGAUUGCUGUUCAGUUUGCUGUAACUGAUCUGAAACAUAUCAGGAAAAAACAUUU